AGGUUUCUGCGGAAGGAUCAUUGUCGAAACCUGCCCAGCAGAGCGACCCGUGAACAUGUUCAACCUCGUGGGUGUUGGGGUGUUGCGAAGCGCCUCGUGCKCCCGCCCGCCCCUCUCCCAUGCCGGGGGSCCCUCACUUGUGGGGCGUCCCCUCGGCACAACAACGAACCCCGGCGCGUAAUGCGUCAAGGAAUAWAAACUUAAUGUGUGUGCCCUCCCUCCKCCCGGUUAGCCGGGCGUUGGAGCGGUGCCAUGUCUUAACAAUAAACGACUCUCGGCAACGGAUAUCUCGGCUCUCGCAUCGAUGAAGAACGUAGCGAAAUGCGAUACUUGGUGUGAAUUGCAGAAUCCCGUGAACCAUCGAGUUUUUGAACGCAAGUUGCGCCCGAAGCCUCCGGCUGAGGGCACGUCUGCCUGGGCGUCACGCAUCGCGUCUCCCCCAAACCCACCUCUGGUGGAGGGGAAGGAGGAUGGCUUCCCGCGGCUCACCGGCCGCGGCUGGCCUAAAAUCGGAGCCCUCGGCAUCGUGAUGUCGCGGCGAUAGGUGGUGAACAAGGCCUCGGCCGAGCAAGCAGCCAGUCGCGCGUCCCCCUGCCAAUGUGAGCUCGAAGGACCCUUUGAGUUGCCUUGUUGCAAACAAACCUUUGCGACCCCAGGUCAGGCGGGGCUACC
rnacentral:rRNA from 1 species